rnacentral:rRNA from 1 species
CAAACCGACACAGGUGGUCAGGUAGAGAAUACCAAGGCGCUUGAGAGAACUCGGGUGAAGGAACUAGGCAAAAUGGUGCCGUAACUUCGGGAGAAGGCACGCUGGUGUGUAGGUGAAGUCCCUGCGGAUGGAGCUGAGACCAGUCGAAGAUACCAGCUGGCUGCAACUGUUUAUUAAAAACACAGCACUGUGCAAACACGAAAGUGGACGUAUACGGUGUGACGCCUGCCCGGUGCCGGAAGGUUA